CUUCAGUGAUGAUCCGAUGACGAGUCAUAAAGAGGCACCCUCUCGCUCAAAGCAGCUGCCCCAGGACCACGUUCUGUGGGGCUGGGAUUGGCUGCUCUGGCAAAGGGGCCUUUGGGCAUUGAAUGAGCUUGAGGCAUUUGUCUGAGAAGG